rnacentral:lncRNA from 1 species
UGGUACUCAAAGUUACAAGCUUUACUGAUGUGGCUCGCUUUAAUUUGAAGAUAAAAUAUGUUUGACUGAUUAACACAAGAUUUAACAUGCUUGUUGGUUCAUCGAUCGGGAUCAUAGUAGCAUGUGGUGGCAACUAGAAAAAGGGCACCUCAGACACACAACUCCAAGUGUUAAUGGGGUUAUGUGUGUGCCUGUUUCCAGCAUUCUAGGAGUGGGGACUGCACUUUGUAAGGUCUUCCCAGAGCUGCAGACUUCACUGGUGUGGCUACUAUUUGACAUGGCAAAUUUGAACUGGGCUUGUUAUUGGAUGGUACUCAAAGUUACAAGCUUUACUGAUGUGGCUCGCUUUAAUUUGAAGAUAAAAUAUGUUUGACUGAUUAACACAAGAUUUAACAUGCUUGUUGGUUCAUCGAUCGGGAUCAUAGUAGCAUGUGGUGGCAACUAGAAAAAGGGCACCUCAGACACACAACUCCAAGUGUUAAUGGGGUUAUGUGUGUGCCUGUUUCCAGCAUUCUAGGAGUGGGGACUGCACUUUGUAAGGUCACUUUUGGACCCAAGAAUCAAUAUAGAAGAAUCAUGCCUAAUUCUGCAUAUACUACUGCUCAUUCUAUUCAACUUGAAUGUGAACCUAGUUACAGAUAGUAAAUAAACCAUCUUUACACUGUUUGCAUGGUAAAACAUGCCAGCUUAAUGAAUGCCUUUCGCAUCAAAAUUAAUUGCAGAUUCUGAAAUCGACUUGACAACUUAUCAAAUGAAUCUCUUAAGUGUGCAGAGGAAAUUACAACAUUUCAUCAGAAUUUUCUGCUGCUUCUGUGAUUCCGAAGAUUCGUGAUCCAAGGACUAGGGAGGCUUUGCGUGCC